UCCCGCGUAGCUCAAUCGGCAGAGCAUGCGACUGUUAAUCGCAGGGUUCCUGGUUCAAGUCCAGGCGCGGGAG
rnacentral:tRNA from 1 species